rnacentral:lncRNA from 1 species
AUCGCCUAUAAAUAGGGCUUCAAAUUUCCCAUUUUUGCAUAUUUACUAAUAUACGACAGAUGUUGCACUGACUUUAAUUCAAUAUCAAUAUUAAAGUCAUAUAUGGUAGUAGUAAAUAGAGAUAGCCAUACCGUAGAGUCAAUAAGACAUAAGAUUAGUUAUGUUAUUAUUAUUGAUUAUGCAUAAUAUAUCAUUUUCCUGAAGAGAACAGACUAAUAGCUGAUUUCAGCAAGGAUCUUUUAGGCUUUUGUUUUCUAAUUAUUUUACAUCUUUUUUUUUUUUGGACACAGAGUCUCAUUCUGUCACCCAGCCUGAGUGACAAAGUAAGACCCUGUCUUAAAAAAAAUUUUUUGAAAGAACUUGAACAACUUCCCCUUCUUAGAAAAUGUGUAAACUCUGAUGUGUCAGCUGAGAAGUCAAGGACCUGGGAUUUCAACCUCUCACCCGUGUGUUUGUGAUUCUGGUGUGAAGGCGAUGAUGCAUUUCCAAAGCUGAACUUGUUCUGCUAGGUUUGGGAUGUGGCAGAAUUCUGGUUCCUGCCAGAGUCCCAAUCUUUCUGAAUGUAUGUGUGUGUACGUGUGUGUGCAUGUGUGAUGUAUGAAUGGAUAUAUUUAUAUCCAUACAUAUAUACACAUGCACAUCUACAUGUAUAUGUAUAUACAAUCAAGAUGUUCAAAAUCCAAAGCAUUGUUUUAAGAGAGUUAAAAAAAUUCAGUAUGUACAGAUUUGAAUUCAGACUGGGUUAAAACCACCUUCCUCCUCUGGUUUUCAAAAGGAAGGUUUUGGAGUUUGUGAAAUUUUUCUAUUGAGCUAAGGUAACAUUUGAUGUACAAGAGCAAAGCUGCUUCUCAUGCCUAAUUCCAUAAAAAGCCUAGAACCUCUGAAGCCCAUCUUCAGCCAGGCAGCCUUGCCCUCUGGCCUUUUCUGCAACAGAGAGACAACAGCCCUGGGCACAGCGGGAGUUGGUCCUGACACCAGAUGUUCUCUGCUCCUGGUUAAUGUCAGUGAGGGCUGGAAGUUGAAUAAAUGAGAACAGGAGUGGUCUGGGCCCAUGUAAAUGAUCCUCACUUGAAAGGAGGAGCAGCUUUCAUCAUUUGUUCCAGCUAAGCCUCGCAUGCGUUAUAGAUCUGAUGCUAAGCAGUGGGAAAGAUCUCAUAAGUAAUGUUUUAUGUUCUCUCUGUCUCUCCUCUUCUGUUGUUCUUGGCUUGUGGGUUGUGUGCGUGUUAUUAACUGGAAAAUUGCUGUAAGCCAGUUGUCUCUAAUUUUUAAAAACAAAUUAGAAAAACCAUAAAAUCCUCUGGCCUGUGCACAUUGUCCCUGUUUUGUGAAAACAUUAAAGGGUAAAUAAAAAGGAAGGAGAACAGUCAAUAAUGUGCAGCAAAUAUAUUCUGAGUUCUAGAGAAAUAAAUGACCAAGUGUUAGAACUAGAAGCAAAAAAAAAAAACAAAAAACAAAAAA